rnacentral:piRNA from 1 species
GCAAGUACAGUAGCACAGAGAUC